rnacentral:rRNA from 1 species
UACGUAGGGUGCGAGCGUUGUUCGGAGUUACUGGGCGUAAAGGGUGCGUAGGCGGCCCUGUAAGUAUGGUGUGAAAUCUCCCGGCUUAACUGGGAGGGUGCGCUAUAGACUGCGGGGCUCGAGUGUGGGAGAGGAAAGUGGAAUUCCUGGUGUAGCGGUGAAAUGCGUAGAUAUCAGGAGGAACACCGGUGGUGUAAACGGCUUUCUGGACCAUAACUGACGCUGAGGCCCGAAAGCGUGGGUAGCAAACAGG